UACAGAGGUCUCAAGCGUUGUUCGGAUUCAUUGGGCGUAAAGGGUGCGUAGGCGGUCUGUUGCGUCGGGAGUGAAAACUUACAGCUUAACUGUGAGCGUGCGUUUCGAUACGGGCAGACUUGAGGCAUUCAGGGGAGAACGGAAUUCCUGGUGUAGCGGUGAAAUGCGCAGAUAUCAGGAGGAACACCGGUGGCGAAGGCGGGGUCCUCUGGGCAGUAACUGACGCUGGAGGAGCGAAAGCCGUGGGGAGCGAACAGG
rnacentral:rRNA from 1 species